CUGACCGUGGGCGGGCGCGAGGCCUUCCGGCUGCCCUCCGGCCAGGACCUGUGCGCCCGGCUGGCCGCGUUCUGGCCCCCGGCGGUCUGCC
rnacentral:tRNA from 1 species